GCUCUCGUGGCGGAACGGAAGACGCGCUAGGUCGAGAACCUAGUCUUUUACAGGUUCAAAUCCUGUCGGGAGUA
rnacentral:tRNA from 1 species